UACGAAGGGGGCUAGCGUUGCUCGGAAUCACUGGGCGUAAAGGGUGCGUAGGCGGGCCUUUAAGUCAGGGGUGAAAUCCUGGAGCUCAACUCCAGAACUGCCUUUGAUACUGAAGAUCUUGAGUUCGGGAGAGGUGAGUGGAACUGCGAGUGUAGAGGUGAAAUUCGUAGAUAUUGGGAAGAACACCGGUGGCGAAGGCGGCCAACUGGACCAUUUCUGACGCUGAGGCGCGAAAGCGUGGGGAGCAAACAGG
rnacentral:rRNA from 1 species